rnacentral:rRNA from 1 species
CAGCCGCCACGGUAAUACGUAGGUGGCAAGCGUUGUCCGGAAUUAUUGGGCGUAAAGGGCUCGCAGGCGGUUUCUUAAGUCUGAUGUGAAAGCCCCCGGCUCAACCGGGGAGGGUCAUUGGAAACUGGGAAACUUGAGUGCAGAAGAGGAGAGUGGAAUUCCACGUGUAGCGGUGAAAUGCGUAGAGAUGUGGAGGAACACCAGUGGCGAAGGCGACUCUCUGGUCUGUAACUGACGCUGAGGAGCUAAAGCGUGGGGAGCGAACAGGAUUAGAUACCCGCGUAGUACCUGUCUCUUAUAC